UUGCGAGGCUCCCAGCCAGCCUUGCCGGGAAGGCGGAUCCAGCCGCUAAAGCCCAGCUGUGCGUGGGGUCCGCCCAGGAACUGCAGUUUAUGAACAAACUAAGUCUGACUCUCCUCUCGAAAUAUAUACAAAUAUGGGAGGGGGGAGCUGGGCGAAGGAGUCAGGCUCUGAGAAAAAGAGUUUGAUUUUUUUUUUUCUGAUGACAGUGCGGAGUUGCUCCUGGCUCCACACGGCCCAAGGAUCUUUGAAGGGGACCUAAAAUCUGCUGUGUGCAUCUAAUCAAAAAGCCUGUCCCAGCGAUGGUGUGGUAACCUUUGAUGACCCAGAUAGCAAGAGGAGUAUGAGCAGUCAAAGCCAGCACUGCAUCCUGAGGGACAUGGCCGCAACUCCUCUGGCCUUGUCUGCAUUGCCUCAACCAAUUCUCCUCAGCCCUCAACUUCUCCAUGCUCCUGCCUCUCAGCUAAUGCUCAUUUUGGUAGCCAUGAAGGAUAAUUGCACUUUCUGUGAUGCCUGACUUUCACUGGAGUCUUUGCAUAAGCCAGAAACACUGGCCUAACUUCUGACUUCUCACAGAUUGCGUGCAACAGGUUCCUUGAUCAAUGAUGCACCAAGAUUAAGUAAAGGUUUAACACCUCUGUAAUUCACAAUGUCACUGAGUUGGUUUGCUGGUUUUUUUCUCUUCAGUUCUGUCCCAAAUCUUCUGGCUUUCUUCCUCUGAAGUUUUUGAGUUUUUCUCACAGCUCACUUCAAGAUACUUUUGAAGCCACUUUCAUUAAGUUUUCAUUCAUACUAUCAAUGUGUUAGCACAGAUUCUUUCAAAAAUGGGUAUUAGUUUGGGCCUUUGUGUGUGAUUUGUGGAACCAGAUCUGCUGUAGCUGAAAUGGAUGGAAACCACUGCUACCAAUUUCAGACUGAGUGGAAUUGAGUGAUUUUCUGCACCCAUAUCUCUUUUCCACUCUCUGCUUAUCUUUCCAUGAGCUUUUCUUCUUCUGAAAAAAUUUUGAUUUUCCUGCUGUUUAGUGAUCAUUUCACACAGAUAUUUAGAUGCUAGAAAUAUGUCUAUGAGGAGCCUGAACUCACCUACUUUUCGUCCUGCAGUAUUCCAUGCUGAAGCAGCUACUCCUUCAUUUUAGUGACAGUUCCUUGACGUUCACUCCUCUUCAGUGUUUUCUUAAGGAUCCUAAGCAAGCACUGUUUUCUGCUGCAUCCAUCAUACCAAGGACAUCAUACGCAGACAGAUGCCAGGGUCUUCAGUGAGGAUCAGCCUUUGAAGACCAAGAGCACAAGCAGGCAUCACUUCAGCUGCCAGACACCUCCAGAUAGCAAACACCUUUGGUUCUGGAGGAAUUAGCCUGUAGGAGCAGUUUGACAGCCUGAUUCACGAUCUUUGUACUAUUAUUAUUGGUAGUAAAACUAUGAUAGGAUCCAGGAGCCUGAACCAUGGAUCAGGAAUGUGCUUUUGCAGAAAAACUCUUGACCCUCCUGCUUUGGCUUAUGCUACAAGGCAGGCUUAAGGCAGGGCACACUCUGAAUUUUUUUCUGGUAGCAGGCAAACUGGAAGGUGUGAAGGGUGGCCAAUCCCUGGGGGUGGACUAGAGGCACCCUAAAAAUCAUCAGCUAAAAUAUGUGUGGUGCAGAUGGUGGGUCCUCAGCUCCAGCUGUGUUGCUCCAUGAAUCUACUCUGUGCCCCAUCGCUUUCAUGCACCGGCACAGCCAGACACUGCACAGGAUACGCUUCUCUCGUCAGCAGGAAUAUUGGCUGGUUUACUCUCUUUUCCUAAGGUUACUGAAAGGCUGCGGGUGUUGCAGGAGAGAUGCAAAGCAGAGCCGCUGCUUUAGGUGUUUUCAUUUAAGUUCUCAGUAGCAAAGUGAUGGUUGUUGAUGGUAGUUGUGUUAUCUUUUAAUUUUAACUACUUCUGAGAGGUUGAAGUGAUGAGGAACUCUAAAUGAAGAUACUGAUAAAUAGUGUUGUGACAAAGUUGUUGUGAAAUAUUUCCCAUUAAUAUGGCUUUUGUUUGUUUGUUUGUUUGUUUUUGUUUUGGUUUUUUGUUGUUCUUUUUUUGUUUUGUUUUGUUUAAGGUGUGUUAUUUGCUAGAGCUCACAGGCUGUCAAAAGAUCCAAGGAAAGGUAACACACAUAACCUUACAAAAAGCGCUAGGAAGCUAAUUUAUAAGGUAAUAUACCUUGCUUAGCUUUCUUCUGUCAAAAAGCAGUUUAUCCAGAGUAACAGUAGAAUUAAAAAGGACAGACCUAAGGAUGGAAAAAGAUGGAACUCCCUGUUUUCCAGAGGCUGUGAUGGUAGUCGGGACAGCUUCAGAGACUGAAGGGACUUGUAAGUAGGAAGUUGAGUUUGCCUGCUCUAGGUUGAAGAACAAAGAUCAUGCUGCCUAGUGAAGUUGCUGAUGAGCAGUAGAGUGUCCUGGGUAGAGUGACCUGCAGGAAACUGGACUCACAUCUUGACAAGAGAGGAUCCAAAGAGGCCCUGGCUGUGGUUGUGCCUAGCUUAGGCAGGAAACAUUAAAGCUUAUUUUGACCAAAGUAGCACAAGUCCUGGAAGUUCUGAGUGCAGUACUGUGCCAUGAGAAAAUGCUGUUAGCCCAUUUUGCAGGCUGAGGUAGGAAAAUAUGGCUGAGGAAGAGCAUUUUGAUGGAGACUUUGGUGCUUAUUGAAGACCUCUCCAUUGCACACUAGUUUCUCAGGAGAUCUCACUCUCAUAUGAAGCUUCCCAGGCUAUAAUGUACAUGAGGGCUGCCUAGGCUGCUGGUCAACUUAAUUUGGGCAAGUUCUAUCCCUAUCCUCCUUCUAUAUCCAUAGUGUUUUAACUCUUCUCCGCAACUUUUACUACUGUGAAGAAAAUUCAAAGGUGAAAAUAGUUUUUGAAAUCAUGGAAUGUUAGACCCACAAAAUAUUACUGUACUUUAUUGAUAAUGUUGUUUCCAUAAUAACAACAUUUAGUACGAAGUACAAUAUCCUGCAUGAGCUUCACAUAAAUAUUUCCAUCAUAUCACUGAUAACGGAUCAGAAAAAAUUCAGUAUGUGCAUGCUGCAAAUGCAAGUGUAAUUGAUACAAGGUAUGUAUCUUAAUGCACAUCUUGAGUAAACAUAAGAAAACCAUA